UCCCUCCCUCCAGCUCCUAUUGGCUCAGUGGAAGUGUCAAUCAUCUGCUCCUCCAGUGGGCUGAUGAGGGUGUCCCUCGCUGUGAAGACGCUUGUGUUGAUGAGAGCCAGAACACAGACGAUCUGAAGCAGCAUCGCACUCUUCUGCUGGACUUUAGAGAAACGAUGCUCAUCUUUGGACUGAUGCUGCUGCUGCAGACUGCUGCAUGUCUGGAUCGGUUCUGCAGGUUUAAUCAGUCUGAUCCCUGUUACGCAGCUCUGGGACACAAACUCAAUGUGACGAUGGUGCAGGACACUAGUGAAUAUGACCUGAAGAUCAUAAAGAGAAUAAACAACACAGCAGAUGAUCCAGUUUGUAGAGUAAAGAAUGACAGGAUGAGGACGAGUGAAUGUGAUCUUUAUAAUAACACAACUGAAGUGACCGUCAUUAAUGGGACUCUGAUAAUAAAUCGUGUGAUCAGAGCAGAUUCAGGGAAUUACAGAUUAACACUCGAUAGCUCAGACGGCACAGAAACAUCUAGAGAUCUUCAAGUGAUUGUUGAAGCUCCUAUUGGCUCAGUGGAAGUGUCAAUCAACUGCUCCUCCAGUGGGGUGAUGAGGGUGUCCUGCUCCUCUGAGGGGGAUCCGCUCCUCUACAGCUGGACUCUGAAUGGAGGUCCACUGAUGGAUGGAAACAGCAGCAUUGAUCUGGAUGAGGGAACUGAUGGAGACAUCAGCUGCAGCGUGAAGAAUCACGUCAGUCACGCACAGAACACCACUAGAGUCCAACCCUGUCCUGGACCAACUACUGCAGCUGUGACCUCUAGUGUGACCUCUAGUGUGACCUCUAGUGUGACCUCUGCAGUGACCAGCAGCACACAAACAUCAGAAAAUGAUACAAGUUUCUCAUCAGCUGGUAUAAAUGUCACACCGAGCCCUGAAGCAUUUCGAUGGAUGCGUGAGUGUUGAGAUACAG
rnacentral:lncRNA from 1 species